UCUUCAGUCCCACAAAUAAGAAAACUGAGACACAUAAAAGUCUAUUUACUUAACAAUGGCCCCACAGUACACUGCAGAAUCAGCAUUUGCAUCCAGAUCGACCCAACUUCCAAGCCUGUUCUCUUAUGCGUUUUACUUCUGCAUAUGCCUUUCUACCUAAAUAGAAAAUGUAAAGGAAGUCUUAGUUUUUAUAUAAGGAGAGCAUCCCAGCUGUUGAUAGUUAUCCAGUGCAUACAACGCCACAGCCUCCUACACAUACCAUGUAGUAUAGUUUCAUUUGUCUUUUUUUAGUUUAUCAAGAUAUUAAGCUUGUACUUAACCAGACCCACAUAAUCAAGAUUUUACUGGUGUAAAAUCCAGUCUGCAACUAAAUAAAGUAAAAA